rnacentral:RNase_P_RNA from 1 species
UCAACAGGCUGGCCUGUCGCUCCCGCAAGGGGGAGGAAAGUCGGGACAAUACAGAGCACCAUACUUCCUAACAGGAAGACACCGUCCCACAGGAUUGGUGAUAGACAGUGCUGCAGAAAAUAAUCGCCAAAGCCCAAUGGGCUGGUAAGGGUGAAAAUGUGGGGUAAGAGCCCACGCUGUAUAAUGGUGACAUUAUACAGGGGUAAACCUUAUGGAUUGCAAGGUCAAAUAUACCGGUGUUUGAGGGUUGCUCGCCCGAUGCCGGUGGGUAGACUGCAUGAGUUAUACAGUGAUGUAUAACCUAGAUAAAUGACAGACACUCUCCUGAUCGAUUUCAGGUGAGAACAGAAUCCCGCUUACAAGCCUGUUGAACAU